rnacentral:rRNA from 1 species
UCUCCGUUGGUGAACCAGCGGAGGGAUCAUUAAAGAGUGUAA